rnacentral:tRNA from 1 species
UCCCUGGAGGAUUAAUGGUUAGGCGACAGCGCUCUCACUGCUGCAGCCCGGGUUCGAUUCCCAGUCAGGGAA